rnacentral:rRNA from 1 species
UACGGGAGGCAGCAGUGGGGAAUAUUGCACAAUGGGCGAAAGCCUGAUGCAGCUAUGCCGCGUGUAUGAAGAAGGCCUUAGGGUUGUAAAGUACUUUCAUCGGGGAGGAAAAAACAAAACUAAUAAUUUUAUUUCUUGACGUUACCCGAAAAAGAAGCACCGGCUAACUCCGUGCCAGCAGCCGCGGUAAUACGGAGGGUGCUAGCGUUAAUCAGAAUUACUGGGCGUAAAGAGCACGUAGGUGGGUUUUUUAAAGUCAGAUGUGAAAUCCCCUGGGCUUAACCUGGAACUGCAUUUUGAAACUGAAAUACUAGAGUAUCGUAGAGGGAGGUAGAAUUCUAGGUGUAGCGGUGAAAUGCGUAGAUAUCUGGAGGAAUACCUGUGGCGAAAGCGGCCUCCUAAACGAAUACUGACACUGAGGUGCGAAAGUGUGGGGAGCAAACAGGGAUUAGAUACC